GUGCCAGCCGCCGCGGUAAUACGUAGGGUCCGAGCGUUGUCCGGAAUUAUUGGGCGUAAAGGGCUCGUAGGCGGUUUGUCGCGUCGGGAGUGAAAUCUUACAGCUUAACUGUGAACUUGCUUUCGAUACGGGCAGACUUGAGGCAUUCAGGGGAGAACGGAAUUCCUGGUGUAGCGGUGAAAUGCGCAGAUAUCAGGAGGAACACCGGUGGCGAAGGCGGUUCUCUGGGAAUGUUCUGACGCUGAGGAGCGAAAGUGUGGGGAGCGAACAGGAUUAGAAACCCGCGUAGUCC
rnacentral:rRNA from 1 species